rnacentral:lncRNA from 1 species
GGGGGGGGGGGGGGGGGGGGGCGUCCCUGAGACCCUGUCGUGUGUCCCGAGGGGCGCAGCUUCCUCAGGCACGUCCUUCCGUCCAGCCCGCAGGUGUCCAGCCGCGCCGGGGGAGGGUGGGGCGGGGGCCUACACCGAGACAUCGGGCGGGUUUCCCAGGAAGUUUAGGGCGCCCGGGGCCCCUAGUAGCGGGUCUUCUCGGGGAGGAGCUGCAUGGGCGGUGAGGCAGGGGCGCGUGGCGGAGCCCCAGGUAAUUGCCGGUUAUGGUCGUUGUAGGUUAUCAGCGAGCUCAACGGGAAAAACAUCGAGGACGUGAUCGCUCAGGGUGAGGUUGUGCGCCGGGGCUGCGUUCUCAGGGUCCAUCCUAAUCCCUGCGGGUCCUCCCGUGGCCCGCCAGGUUUCGCUUGUGGACCAGAGCACUCCAGAAGCCUCACCCAGGACAGCGGGCAGGCUUCAGUGGCUCGUGCCAGGGAUGCUUCUGGACAGUCCUGGCUGUAGGGCAGCAGGGGGUGCUGGUGCUUUCACCCCGCAGGGCCACCUGCCUGCAGAGGGGACCUUAGGGAUCUUGGGAACGGGGUUUUGUAAAUAAGUCUGGUCAUGUAGUCUGCGUGAAGUGGUUGGGGGCAGACUGGGGGUGCCAGGGGUGACCGCAGGUUCCUGCCAUCCUUGCUGGGCAGAUGGUGUCCUGGUGACAAGGCUGGAGCUGAUGGGACAUUAUUCUGUUCCUGUGUGGAGGUGGGUGGGUGGGUGGGUGCCUUAGCCCACAGUCCUGUGGGAGCCCAUAAAUGGGGAUCUGGAUCCAAGUGCCAGAUUGUGUCUUUGCCUGGUUGUGAACAUGUUUGUCCAACUUAGCUUUGGGGUAGGGUUUCCAGAUACGGAUCUCAGGGCUGGGGCAUCUAUGUGGUGGGCUCCCGCACAUCGGGGAGACCAUGCCAUCACUCCCCUGAGGUAGGCUUAAGGCUGAGCAUUUCUCUGGUCUCACCUUCCUGAUUCCCACAGGUAUUGGCAAGUUGGCCAGUGUGCCUGCUGGUGGGGCUGUGGCCGUGUCUGCCGCCCCAGGGUCUGCAGCUCCUGCUGCUGGUGCUGCCCCAGCCGCAGCGGAGGAAAAGAAAGACGAGAAGAAAGAGGAGUCCGAGGAGUCAGACGACGACAUGGGAUUCGGCUUAUUUGAUUAGGGUCCUGCCCACCCCCACCCACUGGCAAAUAAAACCCUUUUUGUGUAUCUGUGGAGUGGUGUGUGGGUGUUUUGUAAGAGUGUGGCGUUGGUGCGCAGGGCAGGCCUUCAGCCCAGGAGAAAGCAGAGCCCUUGCUGGUGCGGCGGGGUUCUAGGCAGGAGAAGCUGCGCAAAGAGCAGGGCAUCUGGUGUGGAAAUGGGUACUUGGGAUGGCGGACGUCUGUGGAUCUUGGGUAGGCCAGGCCUUGGGGAGGCUCAGAAGGGGACAUGAGCCUUCCUGGGCAUGAGCCUGGUUUCUGAGGGCUGCUGGGGGGCCUUCCGGAGAGGGAGCUUUAAGG